GUUUUUGUAGUUGAUUAACAACGGUGGUUUUUCGGGCCUCAGGACUCUAGUAGAGCAAGAACA
rnacentral:tRNA from 1 species